CCUACGGGAGGCAGCAGUGGGGAAUAUUGCGCAAUGGGCGAAAGCCUGACGCAGCGACGCCGCGUGAGGGAUGAAGGUCUUCGGAUCGUAAACCUCUGUCAGCAGGGAAGAACGGUCACUGUGCUAAUCAGCAGUGAAUUGACGGUACCUGCAAAGGAAGCACCGACUAACUCCGUGCCAGCAGCCGCGGUAAUACGGAGGGUGCGAGCGUUAAUCGGAAUUACUGGGCGUAAAGCGCUCGUAGGCGGUAUGUCAAGUCAAGGGGGAAAUCCCCGCGCUCAACGUGGGAACUGCCUUUGAAACUGGCAAACUGGAGUGGGUGAGAGGAUAGUGGAAUGCCAGGUGUAGGAGUGAAAUCCGUAGAUAUCUGGAGGAACAUCAGUGGCGAAGGCGACUAUCUGGCACAUAACUGACGCUGAGGAGCGAAAGCGUGGGUAGCAAACAGGAUUAGAUACCCGGGUAGUC
rnacentral:rRNA from 1 species